rnacentral:rRNA from 1 species
UACGGAGGGUGCGAGCGUUGUCCGGAAUCAUUGGGCGUAAAGGGCGCGUAGGUGGCUUCUUAAGCGUGCGGUGAAAGCCUGGGGCUCAACCCCGGGUCGGCCGUGCGAACUGGGGGGCUGGAGCACUGUAGAGGCAGGCGGAAUUCCGGGUGUAGCGGUGGAAUGCGUAGAGAUCCGGAAGAACACCGGUGGCGAAGGCGGUUAGCUGGGCAGUUGCUGACACUGAGGCGCGACAGCGUGGGGAGCAAACAGG